AUGAGAAAAGAAAUUUCUUUUUCAUUAAUCCCCAAAAUUAAUAUUUUAAAUAAACUACCUCUUGAAAUUAUUCAAUUAAUACUAUACUCAUUAAUUAUUACUACUUCUAUUAUUUUUCUAAAUAUAAUUCAUCCACUAGCUUUAGGAUUAACUUUAUUAAUUCAAAAAAUUUUUUUAUGUUUAUUAAUAACUAAAUGUUUUUGAUAUUCAUAUAUUUUAUUUUUAAUUUUUUUAGGGGAAUACUUGUAUUAUUUAUUUACGUGACAUCUUUAGCUUCUAAUAUUUAAUUUAUCAAUUAAAUUAACUAUAUUUUCUUCAUUUAUUUUACUUUUUAUAAUAAUUUUAUCAUUUAUUAUUGAUAAAACUUCUUCUUCUUUAUUUUUAAUAAAUAAUGAUAUACAAUCUAUUAUUAAUAUAAAUUCUUAUUUUAUAGAAAAUUCUUUAUCUUUAAAUAAAUUAUAUAAUUUUCCUACAAAUUUUAUUACUUUUUUAUUAAAAAAUCUUUAUUAAUUACCUUAAUUGUUGUUGUAAAAAUUACAAAAUUAUUUAAAGGACCUAUUCGAAUAAUAUCUUAAUUAAUGAAUAAACCUUUACGAAAUUCUCACCCUUUAUUUAAAAUUGCUAAUAAUGCUUUAGUAGAUUUACCAGCUCCAAUUAAUAUCUCAAGAUGAUGAAAUUUUGGAUCAUUACUUGGAUUAUGCUUAAUUAUUCAAAUUUUAACCGGAUUAUUUUUAGCUAUACAUUAUACUGCUGAUAUUAAUUUAGCUUUUUAUAGUGUUAAUCAUAUCUGUCGAGAUGUUAAUUAUGGUUGAUUAUUACGAACCUUACACGCUAACGGUGCAUCAUUUUUUUUAUUUGUAUUUAUUUACAUGUA